rnacentral:rRNA from 1 species
UACGAAGGGGGCUAGCGUUGUUCGGAAUUACUGGGCGUAAAGGGCGCGUAGGCGGUGGAUCAAGUCAGGCGUGAAAGCCCCGGGCUCAACCUGGGAACCGCGCUUGAGACUGGUGCGCUAGAGUUCGGGAGAGGAUGGUGGAAUUCCCAGUGUAGAGGUGAAAUUCGUAGAUAUUGGGAAGAACACCGAUGGCGAAGGCAGCCAUCUGGACCGACACUGACGCUGAGGCGCGAAAACGUGGGGAGCAAACAGG